CACAAAACUUGUGUUUCUUUAUUAACUGGCUGCAGUGACCCUGAGGAUCCCAGAGACACCAAGACCAACGCUGCUGCCUGCGUCUUGCCUGCUUGGGAUUGCCCUCACCUUCCCUGUGCACAGCGGGGCAUGGUGCAAAGGGGUUUGGGGAGGGAAGGACACUCACAUGCCAAGAAGUACCUGCAGUGCUCAGACAGCAGCAGGAAAGAAACACCCCUUUACCAGAUGAUCUUUACGGUCCCUUCCAACCCAAACCUUCCUUCACUGCUGCUCCGUACAACCCAAGCGCAUGCUGCAGCAAUCCUCCAUGGCUCAGCUGGGAGGCUAAAGUACAGGGCUGACUUCUCCUGCCUCCAACCCAUCUCUGCCAGCCCCCAAGCACCAGCAGCUGCUCCUCCUGCCGGCACCAAGCCCAGCCGAUGCUCCCAGAGCUUCCUGGUCCCCUGCCCACGCCCCGCUGCACCUACAGGGAGCGCGUCACUGAGCAACAUCCCCAUUGCCAGCCCUGCAGGAGGAGGAAGGAGGAAGCCGGGCUGCAGAGACACAAAACCACGGCAAAACUGGCUACGAGGGAGCCAGACAGGCUGGCUGGGAAGGACAGCUUUGCUGAGCCCGGGAGAAAAUGGUUUGAGUAAUUAUUAACGCCUGCCGCUAUGUGGCCAGGAAGAUGGGGACCCUGUGCUGCCAGCAGCCCCAGGAGCCACCACCCAGCCUGGAGCAGGCAGCCCCACAGAGGGGCCACCAAGAUGUAAACGUGGUGGUAUCAGCACCCCCCCAAGCCACAGCCUCACUUUCCAUGAACACCGAUGCGGCCCAAGCCCAGCCCUGCAGGUCCUGAGGGUAACGUCCCUCAUGGUCCUCUCCUGAAGGCCAUGAGCUGCCUCCCCACCUCUCCGACCAGGGGAUCUGUGUGCUGGGAAUCCUGCAGCCCAGGGACUGGGAAAAAUCAGCAAAUCCCUCCUGUACCUGCUCUCGGCACAGAAGCAUAAUGACAGAGAACAUCCUGAUCCAUCUCCCUAACAGAAAUUUCCAGAUGGCAGAAAAGAUGUGCACCCAUGUGUACCAGGUGCUCCUGGCACUUCUGGGCUCUGAGGAAGAGCACGAGCCAUUGCAUUCCACCAGCAAAUCAGAUUUUUAUGCUGUGAAACCAAGCUGUGCUCCCGAUGACAUCGCUCUACCUUCAGACCACUUCCAACAAGGUAAAAUCAGCUCAGGAGCUGGAAUGUGGAGUCCGAGAGCCUGGCCCUGUGGAAAUCCCACGAUGUUUUGAACACCCCUGUGCCCAACAAGCCGGUGACCCAGCACGAUGUGUAGCACACAGAGGGCAGAGGGGCUGCAGGGACCACCGCCACAUCCCCCCGCCAGCAAACCCUGCGCCGUCACAGAGCAAUGAGGGCAGAAUUGCAAAGCCCACCCCUGUGGGGGCAAUUCUGCCUGACCUCUUCCUGUGACAGCCCCGGCUGAGCCAGAAAUAAAGAUGGAUGGAAGGAG